rnacentral:lncRNA from 1 species
CGGCGACGAGCUCGACCUCGAGGCGGCGCUGCCCGUCGCGUUGGACGCGGUGGAGAGAGCGCAGGAAAUCUUCAAGCCGAGCCCCGCGAUCGAGCGCUUCCCGCACUACCUCCUCGCCGCGCGCGCUAACCUCGCGCUGCGCCGCGCGCGCGAGUGCGAGGACUUCCUCUCGCUCGCGUCGUGGCUCGUGUUGAAGCGCCCCGACGACGCGACGCACGAGAUGCGCGGCGACUUGGCGCGGAUGUUCGGGCAGCUGCGCAGCGCGCAGGGAGAGGGCGAGGAGGCGUUGAGGCGGUUCGCAGAAGACGUCUACUGGCGCGCGGAGGCGCACGGCCCGGAGGACCCGCGGACGACGAGCGGGUACUACGCGCUGUCGCGGCAGUUCGCGAAGAACGGCGACGACGCGCGCGCGCUGUCGUGCACGACGCCGAUCGUGGACGCGUGGUACGACGCGUGCGUCUCAGGCGCGUUCUUCUUCGCACUGGUUCCCAUACGAGCGCGUCGGCGUGGUGAACGCCGAUCCUUAAGGACUUUUGCCGGCGUUUCUCUCCGCCCAGGGUCCCUCGCUUUCAAUCCCGACACACCUCGACGCCUUUCAACUCCGCUUCUGACGCCUUUCAACUCCACCCCGACGUUCGCUCGUAUGGAACGCACCUCAGCGGUGCUCGGCGCGAAACUCUCGGAGGCGCUUCGCGUCGUGCGCACUCCGCCCGCGAAGACGCUGCCGUUUCACCGCGCGGGUUUGCUCGAGAUGAUCGAUAUGCUCGAGGACGUGCUGGAGACGCGGCGCGCGGCGCUCGGGGACAGGGAUCCGAGCUUGGGUGACUGCCGCGUC